rnacentral:rRNA from 1 species
GAGUUUGAUCAUGGCUCAGGAUGAACGCUGGCGGCAGGCCUAACACAUGCAAGUCGAGCGGAUGAGAGGAGCUUGCUCCUUGAUUCAGCGGCGGACGGGUGAGUAAUGCCUAGGAAUCUGCCUGAUAGUGGGGGACAACGUUUCGAAAGGAACGCUAAUACCGCAUACGUCCUACGGGAGAAAGCAGGGGACCUUCGGGCCUUGCGCUAUCAGAUGAGCCUAGGUCGGAUUAGCUAGUAGGUGAGGUAAUGGCUCACCUAGGCGACGAUCCGUAACUGGUCUGAGAGGAUGAUCAGCCACACUGGGACUGAGACACGGCCCAGACUCCUACGGGAGGCAGCAGUGGGGAAUAUUGGACAAUGGGCGAAAGCCUGAUCCAGCAAUGCCGCGUGAGUGAUGAAGGCCUUAGGGUUGU